CCUACGGGCGGCUGCAGUAAGGAAUAUUGGUCAAUGGAGGAAACUCUGAACCAGCCAUCCCGCGUGAAGGAUGAAGGGGCUCUGCCUUGUAAACUUCUUUUGUCUGGGGCGAAAAAGCUCGAUUUAUCGAGAACUGACGGUACAAGAAGAAUAAGCACCGGCUACCUCCGUGCCAGCAGCCGCGGUCAUACGGAGGGUGCAAGCGUUACCCGGAAUCACGGGGGCGUAGGCGGCUGUGGAAGGCAGAGGUGAAAGGCUGUGGCUUAACCAUGGAAUUGCCAUUGAUACUGCAGAGCUUGAAUGAGGUUGAGGUUGGCGGAAUGUGACAUGUAGCGGUGAAAUGCUUAGAUAUGUCAUGGAACACCGAUUGCGAAGGCAGCUGACUGGACCUAUAUUGACGCUGAGGCACGAAAGCGUGGGGAGCGAACAGGAUUAGAUACCCGAGUAGUC
rnacentral:rRNA from 1 species